GCUCUGUGAACAACCUUUUUUUCAGCCUUGCCUACUCUUUUUUUCUUUUUUAACCAAAACAAACGAUACGUUGUUACAACCUAGUGUUCGUACAUACACCAUACAAUAUAUAGAUCUUUUUUGAAAGAUAAGAAUGCUGCAAAAUUCAAUGUACAUGACCACUUUUGUACAGCCUCAGAAUUGGUACCCCAAUAAUUGCAACAGUGGGUAAUUUAAAUGUUUAUGGAAAUUUUCAAUAAAAAAUUGUCGAUCUUCCAAGAGGUUUUGGGCCUUUUACAACAACACUGGAAUUCCGUUGCGCAUCAUCUUCAAUUCUUCAUGGUAUUCUUCACAACCCAAAUGGAGGGGGGGGGGGUGCAUAUAUAGGAGUGGGAGAGACUGAAAUGAAGUUGUUUUGGUGCCAAGGAAUUUGAUGCGGGAAAGACUGAACAUGACGUUAAAAACACUUGGGAUUAAGCACUUAAACGACAAAAGCGCAACGACAAACCAACUUAUUUUGUGAUGGAUUGGGAGCUAGCAAUCAUAAAGAAAUACAUUUGUACACGAGAACAAAACAAUAUCCCCCCCCCCCAAAAAAAAAUAAACAGAAAUCUUGUAAGCAAAUGAUUCCUUUAGUAUACAAUAAAUACAAGUAACUUCAAAAACCGCCCCUGUGGCAUGAUACACAUGAAAAGUUUCCAACAUCUAGAUAUUAAAAUAAACAAGACGACCAAAAAAUAAAAAAUAAACCAUGCUUUACUACACUACUGAACAGUAAGCCAACAUGAAUAGCUAGAGUAAUCAGGCAUGCAACUUUUCCUCGGAUCAGCUGAUUUCCUCUUUUUUUUUUAUUCUCAUUUCUACCAUUCAAAAUUGAAAAUCACUGUACAAAGUCUUCUGAAUUUAGGAAUUUCCUCUUUUUUGGUGAAUUUACAGUUGCAUGCCUGAGUAAUAUAUCUUACAGUUUCGGGGCGUGUAACGCCCCCUAUAUAAUUUGAUCGCGCCAUUAAACAUUCACCGCUCCUAAAGCUGAGACCCUCACAAAUCGACAAAAUCCUCUGGAACAUCCUGUAGGAUUUUGUAGGAUUGAGGAAGGUGGAUCCCAGCUACUAUUACUUUACAUGGGGCUUGAUGCCCCUUGAAACUUGGUAGGUACAAAGAGGUGCCACUGGGUUCCUGCACAGAGGAUUUUGGAUUGAGGAAGGUAGAGCCCAGCGACUAUUACUUUACAUGGGGCUUGAUGCCCCUUGAAACUUGGUAGGUACAAAGAGGUGCCACUGGGUUCCUGCACAGAGGAUUUUGGAUUGAGGAAGGUAGAGCCCAGCAACUAUUACUUUACAUGGGGCUUGAUGCCCCUUGAAACUUGGUAUGAGAGUGUGCCACUGGGUUCCUGCACAGAGGAUUAUGUAGGAUUGAGGAAGGUGGAGACCAGUGACUUUGCCUUUGAAACUUAGUAGGUACAAAGAGUGUGCCACUGGGUUCCUGCACAGUGGAGAAUUGUGUAGGAUUGGGGAAGGCAGAGCCAAGCUACUACAUGUAUUACUUUACAUGGGGCUUGAUGCCCCUUGAAACUUGGUAGGUACAAAGAGUGUGCCAUUGGAUUCCUACACAGUGGUGGAUUUUGGAGGGUUCAGGAUACUUCUUGGUUCAAAUUCUGAGAAACUGAGAAUUUACAAGACUUCAGGAGGUGGUUCUCAACCUAAGAUUGACACCAAUAAGAAAGAGUAAAGCUUUGCUGUUUUGAAAGGCGUUACCAUUGACAAUUGGGUGUCUGUUUU